UAAACAGGAUUUCACUUAUAAAAAAAAUCGAAACUUUAUUUUUUCAAAUUGUAAAAAUUCCAGCCAGUUACGUCAAUAGUACCACUCCUCUUCAAAACGGGCAGUUCGUAACGGAACUGUUACAUUACCCAGUUAAAUUUGUAACCUGAUUUUAUCUCGUCUCCCGUCCAACUGACAGCCCUGAGUACUUUCGACUUUUCAAGUUAUCAAGUUACGUUUCUUGUACUUAUCCGGGACUUUAAAAUAAAACCCAUACAGGAAAAUCAAAUUCCGUAUUAGAAAAAAAAGACAAAAAAAUCUUGACAUGAAUCUGGUGUAGUAAUUUUGUCAUAAAAAUCCAAAAUGACAACCAAAAGUAGCAAGGGUGUUCGCCUGGAGACUGACAUUGAAAAAUGUCGGGAAGAAUCCAACUGGAAAAAAGUCAUCGAACUUUCAGACCAAUUAAAAUCGAAACACAGUAGUCAAGGUCCACUUUGUAACUUUCUUAUGGGAGAAGGUAAACUUGAAAUGUUUCUUGAAGAGUGCCCACCGCUUGAGUGCAAUGUAAACAAGGCAAAAGUUGGACUCUGUCCGGCGAAAAAAUGCUUACUUAUAGCAGCUGGCGAUCUAGGUGUAAAAGCUGGAGUCGCAUUGGACGCACAUCUUCUUUUGGGAAAACUGCAUUAUGCUACUGGGCAGUACGAAGACUCGUUGAAACACUACAUGGAGGCUGAUCUUCAGUCAUUAACAGAAAAAUCACUCCCAAGCAGAAGUUUAAGAAUUGUAGCUGAGUCUUAUGCAGUUAAAGGCCUAUGCCUUGAAAAGGUCCCUCCAUCUUCAACGUCCAAAUAUAAACAUGUUGAAUGGGAAGAGCAGAUGGUCAAAAGUUUUGAAUUAGCAAGUGAUUUGACUCUUCUUUAUCUUCAAGAGCAGGAUAAAAUCCAACAACAAAGUGUUAACACCGGCACUGGCACAGGAUCACAUUCACCACAGCCUGUGAGUCCAAGUUACCAUAUGGGCCCUAUAUUAGAAACAGCUCUCCAACGAGCUCCGCUCUUGCACAUUCUAGGUGGUCGCCUCAGUGCUGCAGUUUCGAGAUACAGGGGUAUGUUGUCAGCAGUUGAAUCCAGUGGUACGCACAGUUUAAGGUUGACUUUAGCGAGACAGUUAGCCGAGGUCUUAUUACGAGGGUUCACAGGAGCAAAAUACCACCCUCCUAAUAAUGGAGGGUCAAUCAACAAAAAAAUUGCUAGCUCAAGCCCUUGGAAACCUCGGGUGUACUCUGAGCCAAAUAUGUUUACACCAAAGAGCGAGUAUGAAGAAAUAAUUCUGCUUCUUCUCAUCAGUGAUGCAAUGGCAGGAAGAGAAGCUGUGUUGAGUCAGUCGCCUGAAUUUAAGGAAGCUCGAAUAAGAGCUUUAACAAAUGCGACUGCUGUUUAUGAUCUGCUGACUAUUGUUCUUGUUAGAUGGGGGCAAGUUGACUUGUUGCAUGAGUCUUUAGAGCGAGCAUUGAAGUUUUCAUAUGAAGAAACUCAUAUUUGGCUGCAAAGGGCUCUGUGCUUGGAAAGUUUAGGACAGUACAUACAAGGUUUCGCUGUGGCCAAAGAAGUUGCUCGUAUGCUGCCUAAUAAAGUUACUCCGUGCCUCUUAGCUGCUAAAAUAUGCUACCAACACUUAAACAAUACGACUGAAGGUAUGGAAUGGAGUGAGACAGCACUACAAAGGGAGUUAAAAAAUCCACAAGGGCUGACAUGUCGAUGUUACCUUUACUUAGGAAUAGGAGCACAUUAUGCUGCAAUAGUUACCCAUUUGAAAGAAAACAAGCAACGCCUUCACAACUUAGCCAUGGAUUCUUUCAUCAAAGCACAACAACUCGACCCAAAUGAUCAUCUCAUCGAGUAUUACAUUGGGUUGAGCCAUGCGAGCAAAGGUCAAGUUUCCGAAGCUGUGAAUCAUGUGAAGUUAGCUUUGAAAUUGUGUCCUGAACAUGCUCCAUCAUUGCAUUUAAUGGUCCUUCUGCUAACAGCGCAAAAACAGUACUCCGAAGCUUACAGUUUUUUGCAAUCAGCGCUAUUGGAUUUUCCAGACAGUCUCGAUUUGCAUUACGUCAAAGCCUAUAUUGAAUUGCAUACUUUAGGUGGAGAUGUCGCUCUAUCAACUGCGAAAAAUAUGCUUAUUUUAUGGAAGUUCCAAUAUGAGGAUCAAACGCUCAUAGAACAGGCUGACAAUAAAAGUGUAUUCCAAUUAUACACAUCUGAAAUGUCUGAUAAAGAUUCAAGCUCCCUUCAUGCUCAUUCAGUCGCUGCUUCAAGAGUUGAACAGGCUCUAUCUGAAGUGGCGUCAUCUUUGUCAACAUUCACCCCUAAGCCAGGACCGCAGCGAGCUUGGCUCCUUCAGUUACAGAUAUGGCUUUUGCUCGCUGAACUUUAUCUUUCUAUGGAACAAAUUGCCUCUGCUGCUUCCUGCAUACAGGAAGCCACCAGUAUUUAUCCUCUCUCACACCACAUCAUGUACAUUAGGGGACUUGUACAUGAACAGAAACACGAGUUUGCAGAAGCGAGGCAGUGUUUUCACAAUGCGGUUUCAAUAAAUCCUUCCCAUAUUAAAAGUUUGCAACAUUUAAGGUGAGCCUGCAGUCCACUAAUAAUUCCAGCUUGUAUAAUAAAUUACUGCCUCAAGAAUCACCCAUCCUAGUGUUGGCAGUACGGGUCAGACCUUGGUCUUGCCCAUCCACUCACCGAGGUUGGGCUUCAGGGGCUAUCAACAGCUAGAUCAUUUCUGCAAGCAGUCUCCAAAUCCAAAUGGACUCAUGUACCAUUAUUUAGGGAAUCAGCGAAUGGCUGAAAAAAUAUUGAGGGAUGCAGCUAGAAUAGAUCCAUUUGCACCAGUUAC
rnacentral:misc_RNA from 1 species